rnacentral:rRNA from 1 species
ACGGAGGGUGCAAGCGUUAAUCGGAAUUACUGGGCGUAAAGCGCACGCAGGCGGUUUAUUAAGUCAGAUGUGAAAUCCCCGGGCUCAACCUGGGAACUGCAUCUGAUACUGGCAAGCUUGAGUUUGGUAGAGGGGGGCAGAAUUCCAGGUGUAGCGGUGAAAUGCGUAGAGAUCAGGAGGAAUACCGAUGGCGAAGGCGGCCCCCUGGACCAACACUGACGCUCAGGUGCGAAAGCGUAGGGAUCAAACAG